rnacentral:rRNA from 1 species
GGCUCAGGACGAACGCUGGCGGCGUGCUUAACACAUGCAAGUCGAGCGAUGAAGCUCUUCGGAAGUGGAUUAGCGGCGGACGGGUGAGUAACACGUGGGUAACCUGCCUCAUAGAGGGGAAUAGCCUUCCGAAAGGAAGAUUAAUACCGCAUAAGAUUGUAAUAUCGCAUGAUAUAGCAAUUAAAGGAGCAAUCCGCUAUGAGAUGGACCCCGCGUCGCAUUAGCUAGUUGGUGAGGUAACGGCUCACCAAGGCGACGAUGCGUAGCCGACCUGAGAGGGUGAUCGGCCACAUUGGGACUGAGACACGGCCCAGACUCCUACGGGAGGCAGCAGUGGGGAAUAUUGCACAAUGGGGGAAACCCUGAUGCAGCCAACGCCGCGUGAGUGAUGACGGUCUUCGGAUUGUAAAGCUCUGUCUUCAGGGACGAUAAUGACGGUACCUGAGGAGGAAGCCACGGCUAACUACGUGCCAGCAGCCGC